UUGGAGGGCAAGUCUGGUGCCAGCAGCCGCGGUAAUUCCAGCUCCAAUAGCGUAUAUUAAAGUUGUUGCAGUUAAAAAGCUCGUAGUUGAAUUUCGGGAUUGACACAUCGGUCGUGCCUUAAGGGGUAUGAACUGGUGUAGUCAAUUUCUCACCUUCUGGAGAACCGCAAUGCCCUUAAUUGGGUGUCGCGGGGAACCAGGACCUUUACUUUGAAAAAAUUAGAGUGUUUAAAGCAGGCAUUUUGCUUGAAUACAUUAGCAUGGAAUAAUAAAAUAGGACGGCAUGAUUCUAUUUUGUUGGUUUCUAGGAUCACCGUAAUGAUUAAUAGGGAUAGUUGGGGGCAUUAGUAUUCAAUUGUCAGAGGUGAAAUUCUUGGAUUUAUUGAAGACUAACUACUGCGAAAGCAUUUGCCAAGGAUGUUUUCAUUAAUCAAGAACGAAGGUUAGGGGAUCGAAGACGAUCAGAUACCGUCGUAGUCUUAACCAUAAACUAUGCCGACUAGGAAUCAGACGAUGUUAAUUUUUUAAUGACUCGUUUGGCACCUUACGGGAAACCAAAGUGUUUGGGUUC
rnacentral:rRNA from 1 species